rnacentral:rRNA from 1 species
UACGAAGGGGGCUAGCGUUGUUCGGAAUCACUGGGCGUAAAGGGCGCGUAGGCGGCUUUAUAAGUCGGGGGUGAAAGCCUGUGGCUCAACCACAGAAUUGCCUUCGAUACUGUAGAGCUUGAGACCGGAAGAGGUAAGUGGAACUGCGAGUGUAGAGGUGAAAUUCGUAGAUAUUCGCAAGAACACCAGUGGCGAAGGCGGCUUACUGGUCCGGUUCCGACGCUGAGGCGCGAAAGCGUGGGGAGCAAACAGG